rnacentral:pre_miRNA from 1 species
AUGGGAGGCGGGAUCCUGGGAUGUGUCCCGGCGCCCUGUGCUCUGGGGCCUGCGCUGUUGGGUUCGCGCUCCCGCCCCGCAGCCCCCU